rnacentral:rRNA from 1 species
UACGUAGGUGGCAAGCGUUGUCCGGAAUCAUUGGGCGUAAAGAGCGUGUAGGCGGCUCGAUAAGUCCGCUGUGAAAGUCCAGGGCUCAACCCUGGGAUGCCGGUGGAUACUGUCGGGCUCGAGUCCGGAAGAGGCGAGUGGAAUUCCUGGUGUAGCGGUGAAAUGCGCAGAUAUCAGGAGGAACACCAAUGGCGAAGGCAGCUCGCUGGGACGUGACUGACGCUGAGACGCGAAAGCGUGGGGAGCAAACAGG